UACAGAGGGGGCAAGCGUUAUUCGGAAUUAUUGGGCGUAAAGGGCGCGUAGGCGGCCUGGCAAGUGGAAGGUGAAAUCCCUCGGCUUAACCGAGGAACUGCCCUCCAAACUGCUUGGCUUGAGUCCGGGAGAGGUGAGUGGAAUUCCCAGUGUAGCGGUGAAAUGCGUAGGUAUUGGGAGGAACACCAGUGGCGAAGGCGGCUCACUGGACCGGAACUGACGCUGAGGCGCGAAAGCGUGGGGAGCAAACGGG
rnacentral:rRNA from 1 species